rnacentral:rRNA from 1 species
GACGAACGCUGGCGGCGUGCUUAACACAUGCAAGUCGAACGAUGAAGCACCAGCUUGCUGGUGUGGAUUAGUGGCGAACGGGUGAGUAACACGUGAGUAACCUGCCCCUCACUCUGGGAUAAGCCUGGGAAACUGGGUCUAAUACUGGAUACGACCGAUCUCCGCAUGGAGUGUUGGUGGAAAGUUUUUGUGGUGGGGGAUGGACUCGCGGCCUAUCAGCUUGUUGGUGGGGUAGUGGCCUACCAAGGCGACGACGGGUAGCCGGCCUGAGAGGGCGACCGGCCACACUGGGACUGAGACACGGCCCAGACUCCUACGGGAGGCAGCAGUGGGGAAUAUUGCACAAUGGGCGAAAGCCUGAUGCAGCGACGCCGCGUGAGGGAUGACGGCCUUCGGGUUGUAAACCUCUUUCACCAGGGACGAAGCUAACGUGACGGUACCUGGAGAAGAAGCACCGGCUAACUACGUGCCAGCAGCCGCGGUAAUACGUAGGGUGCGAGCGUUGUCCGGAAUUAUUGGGCGUAAAGAGCUUGUAGGCGGUUUGUCGCGUCUGCUGUGAAAGACCGGGGCUUAACUCCGGUUCUGCAGUGGGUACGGGCAGACUAGAGUGUGGUAGGGGAGACUGGAAUUCCUGGUGUAGCGGUGAAAUGCGCAGAUAUCAGGAGGAACACCGAUGGCGAAGGCAGGUCUCUGGGCCAUUACUGACGCUGAGAAGCGAAAGCAUGGGGAGCGAACAGG